rnacentral:rRNA from 1 species
CCUACGGGUGGCAGCAGUGAGGAAUAUUGGUCAAUGGGCGAGAGCCUGAACCAGCCAAGUCGCGUGAGGGAGUACUGCCCUAUGGGUUGUAAACCUCUUUUGUCGGGGAGCAAAAGCCGGACGUGUCCGGCUGUGAGAGUACCCGAAGAAAAAGCAUCGGCUAACUCCGUGCCAGCAGCCGCGGUAAUACGGAGGAUGCGAGCGUUAUCCGGAUUUAUUGGGUUUAAAGGGUGCGCAGGCGGAUGUGUAAGUCAGCGGUAAAAUCGUGGGGCUCAACCCCAUCCAGCCGUUGAAACUGGGGAUCUAGAGUGUGCGAGAGGUAUGCGGAAUGCGUGGUGUAGCGGUGAAAUGCAUAGAUAUCACGCAGAACCCCGAUUGCGAAGGCAGCAUACCGGUGCACAACUGACGCUCAGGCACGAAAGCGUGGGUAUCGAACAGGAUUAGAUACCCCAGUAGUC